UAACACGUGAGCAACCUACCCUUCAGAGGGGGACAACAGUUGGAAACGACUGCUAAUACCGCAUAAGACCACGGUGUGGCAUCACACAGGGGUCAAAGGAGAAAUCCGCUGAAGGAUGGGCUCGCGUCCAAUUAGCUAGAUGGUGAGGUAACGGCCCACCAUGGCGACGAUUGGUAGCCGGACUGAGAGGUUGAUCGGCCACAUUGGGACUGAGACACGGCCCAG
rnacentral:rRNA from 1 species